rnacentral:rRNA from 1 species
UGGUGGCGAUGCGCUUAGGGGACACACCCGUUCCCAUCCCGAACACGAUGGUUAAGACCUAAGCGGCCGAUGGUACUUUACUGGAGACGGUACGGGAGAGUAGGUGGCUGCCAGAUU